GGCGCUGUAGUGUAGUGGUUAUCACUUGAGAUUCUGACUUCGUACGCUCGGAAUUUCUCAUAACCCCAGUUCGAAUCUGGGCAGUGCCU
rnacentral:tRNA from 1 species